rnacentral:rRNA from 1 species
UACGUAGGUGGCAAGCGUUGUCCGGAAUUAUUGGGCGUAAAGCGCGCGCAGGCGGUCCUUUAAGUCUGAUGUGAAAGCCCACGGCUCAACCGUGGAGGGUCAUUGGAAACUGGGGGACUUGAGUACAGAAGAGGAAAGCGGAAUUCCACGUGUAGCGGUGAAAUGCGUAGAUAUCCGGAGGAACACCAGUGGCGAAGGCGGCUUUCUGGACCGACACUGACGCUGAGGCGCGAAAGCUAGGGGAGCAAACGGG